AUGCACUGACUUAGUUUCCUGCCACCAGCGACCUGUUCACCUGACUGCCACGUACCACCUGUGGAUAUUUGUUCAGCCUGUGACCCACUAUGAUUGUGCUUACAAGUGGAAUGCAACAAGUGUGUGUUUCAUACCACUGGUACCUUGUUAGGUGGUGAUGAUCGUGCUCUUACUGGUCGCAGUUAUGGAGGGAGUGGUCCUAUUGGUUGGCUCCCACAUUAGGAAGGCGGGGUUGGGGCCUUCCUAUUAUCAUUAUGCCAACAUUAUUAAUAUGGUAUAGUCUUCCUCCCCUUUUUCCUUCCUGCUGUCACCAAAUGCUUGCUCAUCGGGGCUCAAACUCAUCAGCAACCAGCUGCAGAGGAGCUUGCAUCCACUAAAAGCAGCAGGAACAAAGUCAGGAAACAAAUGCUCCGAAGGAAAAAGUGAAAAACCUCAAAGCAAACAGACACUCAAAGAAAGGAAGACGAAGAAGAGAAAGGAAAGGAGGAAAAACAAAAGACGAGAGAAGAAAUUCACUGAAACAUCACUUGAUGAUUGCACAAAAACUCAGAUCUGACAAACCGUACACCUUGCACAAAGCUUUGGACCUCAUUACAGCACCAGUUGAAGAUGGAGGUUUGGUCCACUCAUCUGGUCUGGGUUCUGCCAACUUCAUUGAAGGGAUAGAUCUUUGCCAUGAAAUGGGUAGCAGUCGAUGAACCGGUUUUUGAACUGCUGCAGUAUCCAGAUUUUGAAGCAAUUCACCCGAUGGUCCACUGGCUUGAGAUCGGUGUGUUGCGUGGCCUCUUAACUUAAGAAAACCUCCGUAUUAUGGGUCAAGUUAUUAAUCAACUGCAACAAGAUGAUGAUGAGGAGGACAAUUUUCAGAAGGAUGAGGCUGAUGAGAAAGAGGCUGAUGUUCCAGCAGCAGGCAUAGAAAUAAAUCCACCUCAAGUUGAAGAACCCUGGCUCAAUAACAGAGCAGAGAUCCCAGCAGGAGAAAUGGAAAUAAACCCAGCCCAACAAGCUGAAGAUCCCAUAGCUGAAGAAAUGAGGUCAUUCUGGGAUAACGAGGAGGCUGAGUGACAGCGACAGUGUCCCUGAGAGUGGUCCUGACAGUGACACCGAUCACAGUGACACUGACGACAGCGACAGUGAUGAUGAUGGAGCCAAGGGUGGAGGAGAAUGAUGAAGAGGAAGAUGGGAGACCCAGAAAACAAUCCAAACACUGAAUUUUGCUCCUGGACACUCAGUGUUGCACCCAUCCUCCAAACCCACAGUCCCCCGUCCUAACAAACUGUAUCUCGGCUUUCCCCUCUGAUGCACUGACUUAGUUUCCUGCCACCAGCGACCUGUUCACCUGACUGCCACGUACCACCUGUGGAUAUUUGUUCAGCCUGUGACCCACUAUGAUUGUGCUUACAAGUGGAAUGGUCAAAGGAGUUUGCAAAGAAAAGCGUCUGGACUUCUUUAAGUUGCUUGAAGACGUUUCACCUCUCAUCCGAGAAGCUUCUUCAGUUCUAAG